AGGAGCUUGCUCCUUGGGUGACGAGUGGCGGACGGGUGAGUAAUGUCUGGGAAACUGCCCGAUGGAGGGGGAUAACUACUGGAAACGGUAGCUAAUACCGCAUAACGUCGCAAGACCAAAGAGGGGGACCUUCGGGCCUCUUGCCAUCGGAUGUGCCCAGAUGGGAUUAGCUAGUAGGUGGGGUAACGGCUCACCUAGGCGACGAUCCCUAGCUGGUCUGAGAGGAUGACCAGCCACACUGGAACUGAGACACGGUCCAGACUCCUACGGGAGGCAGCAGUGGGGAAUAUUGCACAAUGGGCGCAAGCCUGAUGCAGCCAUGCCGCGUGUAUGAAGAAGGCCUUCGGGUUGUAAAGUACUUUCAGCGAGGAGGAAGGCGUUGUGGUUAAUAACCGCAACGAUUGACGUUACUCGCAGAAGAAGCACCGGCUAACUCCGUGCCAGCAGCCGCGGUAAUACGGAGGGUGCAAGCGUUAAUCGGAAUUACUGGGCGUAAAGCGCACGCAGGCGGUCUGUCAAGUCGGAUGUGAAAUCCCCGGGCUCAACCUGGGAACUGCAUCCGAAACUGGCAGGCUAGAGUCUUGUAGAGGGGGGUAGAAUUCCAGGUGUA
rnacentral:rRNA from 1 species